GACGAACGCUGGCGGCGUGCUUAACACAUGCAAGUCGAACGGUGAAGCGCUUGCCUUUUUGGUGGGUGUGGAUGAGUGGCGAACGGGUGAGUAACACGUGAGUAACCUGCCCUCUUCUUCUGGAUAACCUCAUGAAAGUGGGGCUAAUACGGGGUAUUCAGGGUCUGUCGCAUGGCGGGUUUGGGAAAGAUUGCGCCUUUGGGUGAUUUCGGUGGGGGAUGGGGUCGCGGCCUAUCAGCUUGUUGGUGGGGUGAUGGCCUUCCAAGGCGGUGACGGGUAGCCGGACUGCGAGGGUGGACGGCCAGACUGGGAGUGUGACCCGGCCCAGAGGGCUGCGGGCGGCAGCAGUGGGGAAUCUGGAACAAUGGGCGGAAGCCUGAUGCCGCGACGCGGAGUGAGGGAUGGAGGCCGUCGGGUUGGGAACCUCUUUCGUAAGGGAAGCAGGCCUGCUCAUGUGUGGGUGGGUUGACGGUAGCUGGAUAAGAAGCGCCGGCUAACUACGUG
rnacentral:rRNA from 1 species